rnacentral:rRNA from 1 species
UACAGAGGUGGCAAGCGUUGUUCGGAAUUACUGGGCGUAAAGCGCGCGUAGGCGGCUUUUCAAGUCAGACGUGAAAGCCCCAGGCUUAACCUGGGAAUUGCGUUUGAUACUGUUAGGCUAGAGUGUGGAAGGGGCUACUGGAAUUCCGUGUGUAGCGGUGAAAUGCGUAGAUAUCAGGAGGAACACCGGUGGCGAAGGCGGGUCUCUGGGCCGAUACUGACGCUGAGGAGCGAAAGCAUGGGUAGCGAACAGG